CCUACGGGAGACAGCAGUGGGGAAUAUUGCACAAUGGGGGAAACCCUGAUGCAGCGACGCCGCGUGAGUGAAGAAGUACUUCGUUAUGUAAAGCUCUAUCUGCAGGGGAGAAAAUGACGGUACCUGAGUAAGAAGCCCCGGCUAACUACGUGCCAGCAGCCGCGGUAAUACGGAGGGGGCAAGCGUUAUCCGGAUUUACUGGGUGUAAAGGGAGCGUAGACGGCAGUGCAAGUCUGGAGUGAAAGGCGGGGGCUCAACCCCCGGACUGCUUUGGAAACUGUGGAGAUAGAGUGCUGGAGAGGUAAGUGGAAUUCCUAGUGUAGCGGUGAAAUGCGUAGAUAUUAGGAAGAACACCAGUGGCGAAGGCGGCUUACUGGACAGUGACUGACGUUGAGGCUCGAAAGCGUGGGGAGCAAACAGGAUUAGAUACCCGUGUAGUC
rnacentral:rRNA from 1 species